rnacentral:rRNA from 1 species
CCUACGGGUGGCCGCAGUGAGGAAUAUUGGUCAAUGGACGAGAGUCUGAACCAGCCAAGUAGCGUGAAGGAUGACUGCCCUAUGGGUUGUAAACUUCUUUUAUAUGGGAAUAAAAUGUUCCACGUGUGGGAUUUUGUAUGUACCAUAUGAAUAAGGAUCGGCUAACUACGUGCCAGCAGCCGCGGUAAUACGGAGGAUCCGAGCGUUAUCCGGAUUUAUUGGGUUUAAAGGGAGCGUAGGUGGAUUGUUAAGUCAGUUGUGAAAGUUUGCGGCUCAACCGUAAAAUUGCAGUUGAAACUGGCAGUCUUGAGUACAGUAGAGGUGGGCGGAAUUCGUGGUGUAGCGGUGAAAUGCUUAGAUAUCACGAAGAACUCCGAUUGCGAAGGCAGUUCACUGGACUGCAACUGACACUGAGGCUCGAAAGUGUGGGUAUCAAACAGGAGUAGAUACCCGUGUAGUC